rnacentral:lncRNA from 1 species
AGUAGAAGGAUAACAUGACAUAGCAGGAAUAAUACUGCCUUUUCUUUCUGGCAUGGAUCAAGAGAAAAGAAAAUACAAGAAAACAGACAGAAGCAAGGCAAGGUACUUCUAUGGAAGGGUGAGCCCUCACAGAUGGAGCAAUGGGGCGCGCACACCUGAACAAGGGAGGGGAAGGAGUUCUUAUCCCUGAUGCAUGUGACCCCUGCUGCUGUGUCCUUCCCCUAUUGGCUAAGGCUUCUGACAGCUUUGGAGAUUGUGACAUUGGAAUAAAGGAAAAACGUACAGGACUCAUGAAGCGCUGAAAUGUUCACAAAUAUCAAGCAAAAGUCAAUGAAAUUUAUUUUGAGCUAUUUACAUCAUUUAAUAAUUGAGCAAGGUAUACUCCUAUGAACAAAAUUUGGAGCAUGUUUGUCUCUCUCUGCCUGGCGUCUUCAGAAUUUGGAAACUAGUUGUCAGGAGUUAACUUUUAUGUGACAAGCUUUACUAGGUCAGGAGCCUAUCGCUGUUUAUAUUCUCUGCAAAGUUUUAAUUGUGAAAAAGGAUUUGAG